AUUAAUUUAACAUGGGUUUAUUGUACUUGAGAGGAUCCACGCGGGAUAUGAGAUGGGUUGUCUGACCAUGGAGGUAAUGCUGUAACCUCACGGAAGCCCAUUCUAAAGCACAACAAGUCUUCUAAAUCAGAGUGUACUUGUGUUCACUCCUGCUGAAUCUUUUAUUGAGGUAGUAUCGCUCUUGGCCUCUAUCAUCUUUUUAUCCUAGCAUGCAGCCCAUGAAUUGUUAUUAAUGGACAGGUACAUGAACAUGGGAACAUCAUCCCUGGGUGGUACCAAGACAGGAGCGUUGACCAACUACUCUUUGAUUG
rnacentral:lncRNA from 1 species